rnacentral:rRNA from 1 species
AUUGAACGCUGGCGGCAUGCCUUACACAUGCAAGUCGAACGGCAGCGGGCCCUUCGGGGUGCCGGCGAGUGGCGAACGGGUGAGUAAUGCAUCGGAACGUACCCGGGAGAGGGGGAUAACCGGCCGAAAGGCUGGCUAAUACCGCAUGAACUCGGAAGAGCAAAGCGGGGGACCUUCGGGCCUCGCGCUCUCGGAGCGGCCGAUGUCCGAUUAGGCUAGUUGGUGGGGUAAGGCCCACCAAGGCGACGAUCGGUAGCGGGUCUGAGAGGACGAUCCGCCACACUGGGACUGAGACACGGCCCAGACUCCUACGGGAGGCAGCAGUGGGGAAUCUUGGACAAUGGGCGCAAGCCUGAUCCAGCAAUGCCGCGUGGGUGAAGAAGGCCUUCGGGUUGUAAAGCCCUUUCGGCGGGGAAGAAAUCGGUCAGGCGAAUAGUCUGGCCGGAUGACGGUACCCGCAGAAGAAGCACCGGCUAACUACGUG